rnacentral:rRNA from 1 species
UCGAACACGCAGUUCGGUGUACCAAUACAUCGGAUGGGCGCGUGGCGAACGGGUGCAUAACACGUGGAUAACCUUCCUUCAGGUGGGGAAUAACCCAGUGAAAACUGGGCUAAUACCGCAUAACACGACGAGGGCACAUGCUCUUGUCUUCAAAGCGCCAAGGCGCCAGAAGAGGGAUCCGCGGCCGAUUACCUUGUUUGUGAGGUAAUGGCUCACCAAGGGAAUGAUCGGUAGCCGGACUGAGAGGUUGGCCGGCCACACUGGAACUGAGACACCGUCCACACUCCUACGGGAGGCAGCAGUGGGGAAUCUUGCGCAAUGGGCGAAAGCCUGACGCAACCACGCCCCGGUGGGGGAUGAAAGCUUCUCGGAGGUGUAAACCCCUUUUCGAACCCGGACGAACCCCCCGCCAAGGGCUUGACCGUACCGGGUUUAAAAANACCCCGGCCA